AUAAAAACACCUCAAAAAAUUCCCGAAUCGCAAGAGUCACCCUAGAAUAACGAUACGAAUAAAAUAUCAAAAUUUCACAUUUAUUCUUGACUACCCGAAAGAUAUCAAAAUAUUUAAUUUGUAAACGUCCGGAAAAUAUACAAAUCAAGAAAAAGACAUAAAAACACCUUAAAAAUAUCCGAAUUGCACCACUCACCUUAUAAUAUCGAUGCGAAUAAAAUAUCAAAAUUUCACAUUUUUUCAUGACUACCCG
rnacentral:lncRNA from 1 species